GCAUCCUCUCCUCUCCUCUCGCGUGGGUGACAGUGCAGAGUCCACCACCACAAUCCCCCCCACGAGCCGCGAGGAGGAGGGCGAGAUGAGGACGGCAAGCCUCGGCCGCCGCCGCCCCCAUUCGCCGGCGGCAGGGCCGCUGGACGACGACGACCUCCUCUGCGAAAUCCUCAUCCGCCUUCCCCCGCAGCCGUCGUCCCUCCCCCGCGCCUCAGCCGUCUGCAAGCGCUGGCGACGCCUCGUCUCCGACCCUACCUUCUUCCGCCGCUUCCGCCUCCACCACCGCCGCAACCCGCCACUCCUCGGCUUCUUCCAAGGAACAGGGAUAGGAUCUCAAGGUAUGACCUUCGUACCUACCCUGGAGGCGCCCAACCGUGUCCAUCCCGGGCGCUUCUCCCCGCCGUCCGGCCUCGGCGACUGUUUCCAGUGCCUCGGGUGCCGCCACGGCCUCGUGCUCUUCUUCCUCCAGAACAGCCUCCGGGUGCUGGUGUGGGACCCCGUCACCGGCGACCAGCACCGCCUCGCUAUCCCCCCUGGAGUUGCGACGUAUGCAAAGAAUGCCCUGAUCAACGGGGCGGUGCUUCGCGCUGCCGGAGACGUCCAACACUUCCAGGUGGUCUUGACAGUGGCGUAUGGCGACGAGCAACACAGACGAGCGCUCGCCUGCCUUUACUCGUCGCAGACCGGCUUAUGGGGAGAUCUCGUAUCGAUUCCGCUGCCAUGCGAGGCUAGUAAUUGGGAAUUAUCCGUUAAUACGGACGAUGCUGUGCUGGAUGGAGAUUACCUUUACUGGGUGCUUGAAGAGUUUUCGUUUUCGUAUAGAAUUCUCGAAUUUGAUUUGUUGAAACAGAGCUUAGCCGUGAUAGAGGUGCCAUCAGAUAUGUGUAGUGAGGACAUCCGGUUCGGGAUUAUGCGGGCCGAGGGCGGUGGGCUGGGUGUCCUCUUAGUGUCAGACUCAGACUGCACCGCCCAGCUAUGGAAGAGGAAGACUGAUUGGGGUGGUGUUGCUUCAUGGAGCCUCGCAAGAACUAUUGAACUCGGCAAGCUACUUUCCCUGAAAUCAGACGAGAAAGGGCCCCUAUACAUACCAGGGUUUGCGGAGGAGAAUAAUACGGUGUUCAUGUGGACAUCGGCUGGUCUCUUUAUGAUCCAUCUUGAGUCACUGAAGUGCAAUAAGAUUUUUGAAGGACAACCCGGAACCUUUUAUCAACCAUUCGAAGGUGUCUACGCUGCAGAAAUAUGCGCUGGUAGUGGACACGACGGAGCUGAGCUAUUGCGCAAAACCUAAGAUGACUGUACGGUUGGAUAUGCUAUUUGAUCUACUGGUUAAGCAGAUAUGCUUAUCUUCUGCAUGUAUAAUUAGGUAUCUAGCUAGAGUUAAGUUCCGGUGGCUGCGAUGCAGAAUUGGGCGGUUGGAUGUUAGGUUCUUGCAUUUUUCAUGUUUGAUACGGAGAUUGCAUCGGUCAGCUGUGUAGUGAAAUGAACCGCUUAAUUUCCAAACUCCCAUCUGUUAUCUAGUUCUUGUGGACAUUCGUCAAUUGGCCUUAAGGCUGAAUGCACAGCCACAUGUUGGAGUUAAU